rnacentral:rRNA from 1 species
AAUGGGCGCAAGCCUGAUCCAGCCAUGCCGCGUGAGUGAUGAAGGCCCUAGGGUCGUAAAGCUCUUUCGCCUGCGAAGAUAAUGACGGUAGCAGGUAAAGAAACCCCGGCUAACUCCGUGCCAGCAGCCGCGGUAAUACGGAGGGGGUUAGCGUUGUUCGGGAUUACUGGGCGUAAAGCGCGCGUAGGCGGAUUAGUCAGUCAGAGGUGAAAUCCCAGGGCUCAACCCUGGAACUGCCUUUGAUACUGCUAGUCUUGAGUUCGAGAGAGGUAAGUGGAAUUCCGAGUGUAGAGGUGAAAUUCGUAGAUAUUCGGAGGAACACCAGUGGCGAAGGCGGCUUACUGGCUCGAUACUGACGCUGAGGUGCGAAAGUGUGGGGAGCAAACAGGAUU